rnacentral:misc_RNA from 1 species
GAUGAAGAACGUAGCGAAAUGCGAUACGUAAUGUGAAUUGCAGAAUUCAGUGAAUCAUCGAGUCUUUGAACGCACAUUGCGCCCCCUGGUAUUCCGGGGGGCAUGCCUGUCCGAGCGUCAUUGCUGCCCUCAAGCACGGCUUGUGUGUUGGGCCUCCGUCCUCCUCCCGGGGGACGGGCCCGAAAGGCAGUGGCGGCACCGCGUCCGGUCCUCGAGCGUAUGGGGCUUCGUCACCCGCUCUUGUAGGCCCGGCCGGCGCUUGCCGACACAUCAAUCUUUUUUCCAGGUUGACCUCGGAUCAGGUAGGGAUACCCGCUGAACUUAAGCAUAUCAAUAAGCGGAGGA